CAUUUUUACUGUGGCACUUCCUCCAAUCAGGUACAAGCUGCUGUCUACUUAAACCAAGCCAUCUGGUGCUAGGAAGGAGCCACACAAGGAAGCUACAGAGAAAAACAAACCUUCUAAACAAAUGUCGGAGACAUGCUACAGGAGGAAACUGAAGAAAAUCAAUGAAUCUACUACUGACUGAAAAAUUCCAGGAACCCAAGCUUUUCAUAAUCCUAUGGUCACAGACUCAAUCUGGGAUUCAGCUCCUAAAG